GGAUGAACGCUAGCUACAGGCUUAACACAUGCAAGUCGAGGGGAAACGACAUCGAAAGCUUGCUUUUGAUGGGCGUCGACCGGCGCACGGGUGAGUAACGCGUAUCCAACCUGCCCACCACUUGGGGAUAACCUUGCGAAAGUAAGACUAAUACCCAAUGACGUCUCUAGAGGACAUCUGAAAGAGAUUAAAGAUUUAUCGGUGAUGGAUGGGGAUGCGUCUGAUUAGCUUGUUGGCGGGGUAACGGCCCACCAAGGCUACGAUCAGUAGGGGUUCUGAGAGGAAGGUCCCCCACAUUGGAACUGAGACACGGUCCAAACUCCUACGGGAGGCAGCAGUGAGGAAUAUUGGUCAAUGGACGAGAGUCUGAACCAGCCAAGUAGCGUGCAGGAUGACGGCCCUAUGGGUUGUAAACUGCUUUUAUAAGGGAAUAAAGUGAGUCUCGUGAGGCUUUUUGCAUGUACCUUAUGAAUAAGGACCGGCUAAUUCCGUGCCAGCAGCCGCGGUAAUACGGAAGGUCCGGGCGUUAUCCGGAUUUAUUGGGUUUAAAGGGAGCGUAGGCCGGAGAUUAAGCGUGUUGUGAAAUGUAGAUGCUCAACAUCUGCACUGCAGCGCGAACUGGUUUCCUUGAGUACGCACAAAGUGGGCGGAAUUCGUGGUGUAGCGGUGAAAUGCUUAGAUAUCACGAAGAACUCCGAUUGCGAAGGCAGCUCACUGGAGCGCAACUGACGCUGAAGCUCGAAAGUGCGGGUAUCGAACAGGAUUAGAUACCCUGGUAGUCCGCACAGUAAACGAUGAAUACUCGCGGUUUGCGAUACAGUGUAAGCCGCCAAGCGAAAGCGUUAAGUAUUCCACCUGGGGAGUACGCCGGCAACGGUGAAACUCAAAGGAAUUGACGGAAGG
rnacentral:rRNA from 1 species